rnacentral:rRNA from 1 species
GAUGAACGCUAGCGGCAGGCCUAACACAUGCAAGUCGAGGGAGGAGCUUUCGGGCUUCGACCGGCGUACGGGUGCGUAACGCGUAUACAAUCUGCCUUUCACAUAGGGAUAGCCCGAAGAAAUUUGGAUUAAUACCUAAUGGUAUAUAGGAGUGGCAUCACAUUUAUAUUAAAGCUGAGGCGGUGAAAGAUGAGUAUGCGUUCUAUUAGCUAGUUGGAGAGGUAACGGCUCCCCAAGGCGACGAUAGAUAGGGGUUCUGAGAGGGAUAUCCCCCACACUGGUACUAAGAUACGGACCAGACUCCUACGGGAGGCAGCAGUGAGGAAUAUUGGACAAUGGUCGGAAGACUGAUCCAGCCAUGCCGCGUGCAGGAAGACGGCCUUAUGGGUUGUAAACUGCUUUUGCAGGGGAAGAAUAAGGACUACGAGUAGUUUGAUGACGGUACUCUGCGAAUAAGCAUCGGCUAACUCCGUG